UACGUAGGGUGCGAGCGUUGUCCGGAAUUACUGGGCGUAAAGAGCUCGUAGGUGGUUUGUCGCGUUGUUCGUGAAAUCUCACGGCUUAACUGUGAGCGUGCGGGCGAUACGGGCAGACUGGAGUACUGCAGGGGAGACUGGAAUUCCUGGUGUAGCGGUGGAAUGCGCAGAUAUCAGGAGGAACACCAGUGGCGAAGGCGGCUCACUGGUCCGGUACUGACGCUGAGGUGCGAAAGCGUGGGGAGCAAACAGG
rnacentral:rRNA from 1 species